rnacentral:rRNA from 1 species
GGCUCAGGAUGAACGCUGGCGGCGUGCUUAACACAUGCAAGUCGAACGGACUUGAUUGGAGCUUGCUCCGAUCAAGUUAGGUGGCGGACGGGUGAGUAACGCGUGGGUAACCUGCCUCACACUGGGGGACAACAGUUGGGAAACGACUGCUAAUACCGCAUAAGCAUACAGUGUCGCAUGACACAGUGUGAAAAACUCCGGUGGUGUGAGAUGGACCCGCGUCUGAUUAGCUAGUUGGUGAGGUAACGGCCCACCAAGGCAACGAUCAGUAGCCGGCCUGAGAGGGUGAACGGCCACAUUGGGACUGAGACACGGCCCAGACUCCUACGGGAGGCAGCAGUAGGGAGUAUUCGGCAAUGGGGGAAACCCUGACCGAGCAACGCCGCGUGAAUGAAGAGGGUCUUCGGAUUGUAAAAUUCUGUUAUAAGGGAAGAACGAUACUUAUAGGAAAUGAUAAGUAAGUGACCGUACCUUAUGAGAAAGCCACGGCUAACUACGUG